CUUUCUUGCUUCAGAAAAAAAGGAGGUGGAGGUCAGUGAAAAAGCAUCUUUGGAAUGAGAAGCAACCUACAAAGAAAUAUGGACAAAUAUUGUGGUUAGGCUUUGGCUGACCAGCACUGAAUCUUAACCUCCAGGUUAAAUGUGUCGCAGAAAGAGCCAGUCUGGACAACAAGGCGCAUCUCACUGAUGAUAUCAGACAUCAGAAAACAGAGAUGGUCAUUGAUGGACCACAGGUUGGAACUUGUACAGAUGUCCUGCAUGUAGCUGAAGCUCUCUUCCACUUUUUUGGUGGCGGCUUUUACAUUUUCAAAAAGCAAACUAGCUGAUUGUUCGAAUCUUUGCUGUGCUUCUUCCGCCACAUAAGCCAUUUUGAGCAUGUUGUGGAGCACGGUGUCAUAACUGUUAUUUUCUUUGCUCAGACGCCCAGAGAGCUCUUUUCAUAAUGAUAACAUUUCUCUGAAGGAGCUCUGGCUGAGCAAGUUGCAUGACACUUGGGAUCACACAGAGGUCCUCCGCAGCUUGAAGCAGUGCUUCUCAGCCACGUGAAACUGUUGCAUAUAGGACUGGAUGCGAAGCUGCGCCAGGCACACUUGGAAUGAGCCGCCUGAACAUCCUUUGCUCGAAAUGUGUUUCAGAGUUAAUAAGUGCAUUUUCGAACAAUGGUUGUGUGUGCAAGUGUAACUGAGUUAAAAAUGCACUUUAUUAUUUAUUUUCUAAAUGCGUGAAUUUAUUAUUAUUUAGUUAUUGUGUGAAUUUUAUCUCAAUGUGUUAUUUAUUUUUGUUAUCUUGUUUACUCUAUUUCCAUUGCUUUCUUUGUGUGUGCUUUAUUUUAUCCUUUCACUUCUGCUCCUCCCGGGCUUCCGUAGUUGGCCUCAGCUCUGGUAGCACUUCCUCUCUUUGCCACACAACGUGGUUGCAUUGACGAGGGAAAGUUCAGUUAAACAGCUGCAGACAAAAUGUGUUGUUUAGUUUAAGAUUUGGUCAUCUGUGUUGUGUAUAUUGUUUUUAUGUCGAUGUACUUGUCAUUUCAAGUGGUUUUAUGUUAUUUCGAUUGUUGGUUUUAGUUAAAAGGGCUUCUUUUCAUUUACAUUUCUGGCGGGAUUUGUGUUACAUUCCCCUUCUCUCCCCCACUCCGUUACUUAUGUUGACCACUAGUCGGCAGUGUUGUGAAACUUUGUCAAUAUAAAAUCUGUGUGUUGUUUACCA